ACGGGUGUCUCCUUGUGCGACUGAGCUGUGGCGGCGGCGGCUUGCAGUUUCUCCGCCUGGUGGGUGCGCCGCUGGUUUGGCUGCCUUCCAUCUCCUAGAUUGCUUUCCUCGGCGGGUGGAUUUGCUUCGUCCAUGUCUCCUUCCUUCGCUCAAGUUCAGGUUAAGCAACAUGGAGUUUAAAAAUUAGCAAAGCAGUGGUCGCCUCCUAUGUUAUCAAAGAUGUUUGUGACCAUACACAUUACAUUGAAACCAUACGGCUACACCUGGACAUGAAUAUGAGUUCAACAGUGGAGUGGCAUGGACAAAAGAAUGUGGAACCCCUUCAAGAUGCUAA